rnacentral:rRNA from 1 species
UACGUAGGGUGCAAGCGUUUGUCCGGAAUUAUUGGGCGUAAAGAGCUCGUAGGCGGUUUGUCGCGUCUGCUGUGAAAACUGGGGGCUCAACCCCCAGCCUGCAGUGGGUACGGGCAAACUAGAGUGCGGUAGGGGAGAUUGGAAUUCCUGGUGUAGCGGUGGAAUGCGCAGAUAUCAGGAGGAACACCGAUGGCGAAGGCAGAUCUCUGGGCCGUAACUGACGCUGAGGAGCGAAAGCGUGGGGAGCGAACAGG